rnacentral:rRNA from 1 species
GAUGAACGCUGGCGGCGCGCUUAAUACAUGCAAGUCGAACGAAGAGCUUUGUAGCAAUACGAGGCUUCUUAGUGGCGAACGGGUGCGUAACGCGUUGGUGACCUGCCCCGAAGUGUGGAAUAACAGUUCGAAAGGACUGCUAAUACCGCAUGUGGAUCUCCGGGUUAGCGGCUGGAGUUCUAAAGCAGAAAUGCGCUUCGGGAGGGACCUGCGUCCCAUCAGCUAGUUGUUGAGGUAACGGCCCACCAAGGCGACGACGGGUAGGGGACCUGAGAGGGUGGUCCCCCACACUGGCACUGAAACACGGGCCAGACACCUACGGGUGGCAGCAGUAGGGAAUAUUGGGCAAUGGGCGAAAGCCUGACCCAGCAACGCCGCGUGCACGAUGAAGGUCUUCGGAUCGUAAAGUGCUUUUCUGAGAGAUGAGAAAGGACAGUAUCUCAGGAAUAAGUCUCGGCUAACUACGUGCCAGCAGCCGCGGUAACAC